GUGCCAGCAGCAGCGGUAAUACGGAGGGUGCAAGCGUUAUCCGGAUUCACUGGGUUUAAAGGGUGCGUAGGUGGGCUGGUAAGUCAGUGGUGAAAUCUCCGGGCUUAACUCGGAAACUGCCAUUGAUACUAUCAGUCUUGAAUAUUGUGGAGGUUAGCGGAAUAUGUCAUGUAGCGGUGAAAUGCAUAGAUAUGACAUAGAACACCAAUUGCGAAGGCAGCUGGCUACACAUAUAUUGACACUGAGG
rnacentral:rRNA from 1 species